AUUUAAUCUCUUCAGUUUUUGUUGGAAAGGAAAGGGUUAAAACUGAAGAUAAACAAAUAUCCAAUCAGGAUUUUUCUUUGCUAGUCUCUGGGGGGAUACAUUUGGCUAGCUAAGUCAGCCAUUGGCUAGGCCAUCAGAAGCUAGAUAAAGGCAUCUGCCAUUCAAUUGUAUUAGGACAACAUUUUGGAGUGACAGUGAAAUCAUCCAAUCACAUUUUGACUUCAUGAGUGGGACUGUUUUUUACAAAAAGUAUGGAAACUUCUGACUUCUUGAACGCCAACGGGUUACUACGCAAUAGUGAGCAGCAGUUUUCCCACGGUCUAGCUAGCUAGCUUUUGUUGUCGGCUAGUUUUCAGCGGCAGGAUGUGUUAUCAAAGAGGAUGUUGUUGCUAAUUUGUUAGUUUCUCCCUUUUCAAGAAUAACUUUCAACAAGAAGUUAAGUUUCAAAUGAUCAUCAUCUGUGGGACAGUACCUGCAUCGAGUUCCCGGGGAAGCUGGUGAUGGCAGGAUAGUCGGUGAUCUGCAGGUCGUGCACGUGGCCAUUGAGCACAGCAGCAGACAGAUGGACCCGGCGGGCGCGGCUGGUUGCCGGGGCGGGCGCCUCGCUGUAGUCAUCGUGGAGGAAGCGCUGCACGAUGGCAGUCUUGCCCACGCCUUGUGCCCCCAGCACAGCGAUGCGGAAGGGAGGCGGCAUGCUGCGCCCCCCUCGACCCCCUGCUGCUGCUCCACCCCCCUCCCUGUUCUCGCAAACCACCGGCCAGUGCAUUCAGGGUUGUGCAGCGCAUAGUCCCCACGGGCACAGAGGCAGUUGUUGUGGUGGGGGGCACGCUCGGCCACAUUCAUAGACCACCAACACCCCCUAUCCCACUGGUGGAGAGAGAGAUAGGGGAGAAAAUGGAGAGGGGGAGUGAGAGAUAGAGGUAGAGGGAUUGGAAGAGAGGGAGGAGGAGAAAGACAGAAAAGGGGAAGGAGGGAAAGAGAGGCAUAGGGAGACAGAAAUUGGGAACACACAACAGGUAUCGGUCAUUUAGUUCAUUUGGAGCUUAGGUAUGCUAAUUCUGGAUCACUCUACAUUUGUACAUUAAAGUAUAGGUUAUUUUGGCAAGUGCAUUCUUUUUACCACUGCAUGCCUUUCAUUCAUCUACAAAAGGGAAACAAAAGCACUAAGCUGCUAAGCAACCAACUAAAACAAGAAGUCAUAUAUACAAGGACACUGGGAAGAUGAAAUUAACGUAUACUGUGAAAACCAAAGUGCCACUGUGUAAUCUAAAUUUGCUUUUUGACAAAAUUGAAGCGCAAAAUAAAAGUAACUCAAAAUA